rnacentral:rRNA from 1 species
CUUGUACACACCGCCCGUCACACCAUGGGAGUUGGAAAUGCCCGAAGUCUGUGACCCAACCGUAAGGAGGGAGCAGCCGAAGGCAGGUUCAAUAACUGGGGUG